AAAACUUUUAACAACGGAUCUCUUGGUUCUGGCAUCGAUGAAGAACGCAGCGAAAUGCGAUAAGUAAUGUGAAUUGCAGAAUUCAGUGAAUCAUCGAAUCUUUGAACGCACAUUGCGCCCGCUGGUAUUCCAGCGGGCAUGCCUGUUCGAGCGUCAUU
rnacentral:rRNA from 2 species